GAUGAACGCUGGCGGCGUGCUUAACACAUGCAAGUCGAACGGAAAGGCCCAAGCUUGCUUGGGUACUCGAGUGGCGAACGGGUGAGUAACACGUGGGUGAUCUGCCCCGCACUUCGGGAUAAGCCUGGGAAACUGGGUCUAAUACCGGAUAGGACAGUGGUUUGGAUGCCAUUGGGGAGAGUUUUUUGGGGGUGGGAUGAGCUCGCGGCCUAUCUGCUUGUUGGUGGGGGAAUGGCCUACCAAGGCGUCGACGGGUAGCCGGCCUGGGAGGGUGUACGGGCACAUUGGGGAUGGGAUACGGCCCAGACUCCUACGGGAGGCAGCAGGGGGGAAUAUUGCACAAUGGGGGCAAGCCUGAUGCAGCGACGGCGGGUGGGGGAUGACGGCCUUCGGGUUGGAAACUCCUUUCGCUAGGGACGAAGCGUUAUGUGACGGUACCUAGAGAAGAAGCACCGGCUAACUACGUG
rnacentral:rRNA from 1 species